rnacentral:rRNA from 1 species
GACGAACGCUGGCGGCGUGCUUAACACAUGCAAGUCGAACGGAAAGGCCCUGCUUUUGUGGGGUGCUCGAGUGGCGAACGGGUGAGUAACAGGUGAGUAACCUGCCCUUGACUUUGGGAUAACUUCAGGAAACGGGGGCUAAUACCGGAUCGGAGCUCCUGUUGCAUGGUGGGGGUUGGAAAUUUUCGGCGGUUGGGGAUGGACUCGCGGCUUAUGAGCUUGUUGGUUGGGUAGUGGCUUGCCAAGGCUUUGACGGGUCGCCGGCCUGAGAGGGGGACCGGGCACCAUGGGCCUGCGGGACGGACCAGACUGCUACGGGAGGCAACAGUGGGGAAUAUUGCACAAUGGGCGGGAGCCUGAUGAAGCAACGCCGCGUGCGGGAUGACGGCCUUCGGGUUGUAAACCGCUUUCGCCUGUGACGACGCGUGAGUGACGGUAAUGGGUGAAGAAGCACCGGCUAACUACGUG